AACGAACGCUGGCGGCAUGCCUAACACAUGCAAGUCGAACGAGACCUUCGGGUCUAGUGGCGCACGGGUGCGUAACGCGUGGGAAUCUGCCCUCAGGUACGGAAUAACUCAGGGAAACUUGAGCUAAUACCGUAUAAUGACUUCGGUCCAAAGAUUUAUCGCCUGGGGAUGAGCCCGCGUCGGAUUAGCUAGUUGGUGAGGUAAAGGCUCACCAAGGCGACGAUCCGUAGCUGGUCUGAGAGGAUGAUCAGCCACACUGGGACUGAGACACGGCCCAGACUCCUACGGGAGGCAGCAGUGGGGAAUAUUGGACAAUGGGCGCAAGCCUGAUCCAGCAAUGCCGCGUGAGUGAUGAAGGCCUUAGGGUUGUAAAGCUCUUUUACCCGGGAAGAUAAUGACUGUACCGGAGAAUAAGCCCGGCUAACUCCGUGCCAGCAGCCGCGGUAAUACGGAGGGGCUAGCGUUGUUCGGAAUUACUGGGCGUAAAGCGCACGUAGGC
rnacentral:rRNA from 1 species